rnacentral:rRNA from 1 species
UACGUAGGUGACCAGCGUUGUCCGGAUUUACUGGGCGUAAAGAGCGCGCAGGCGGUCGUUCAAGUCGAGUGUGAAAGCUCCCGGCUUAACUGGGAAAUUGCAUCGGAAACUGAUCGGCUGGAAGGUGGGAGAGGGUAGCGGAAUUCCCGGUGUAGUGGUGAAAUGCGUAGAUAUCGGGAGGAACACCAGUGGCGAAAGCGGCUACCUGGCCCAUUCUUGACGCUGAGGCGCGAAAGCUAGGGGAGCAAACGGG